AAAAAGCCCAGACUGCAAAAAAACAAUUUUUUCUUGUCCUGAAAGAGCGACCAGCGGGAGCUCCUUUCAGGACAAGAAAAAUGUUUAUUUAAGGGAGGACUUGAA
rnacentral:misc_RNA from 1 species